rnacentral:lncRNA from 1 species
UCCCAUUGUCACCGACAUCUAGGGGGAUUCAAAAGGUCAGUUGAAAUGUUAACUUGGACGUCGAGUUAGUAACAGAACUGACGUCUAUAGUCAUAUAGACGUCGGCUAUCUAGAGAAACCGACGCCCAGUUUCAUUUUCAAUAGACCGCAAACUCUUCACAGCAUUCAGUUUCUGAUAUCUUCCUCUUCCUCUUCUCCUUUUUCUCUCGCGACACUCUUCUUUUUCUCCCUUUCGACACGUCUUCUUUUUGUUACGGCAUUCUAUUGUUGUUUGUGAUAUCUUUAUCGUCUUCCUCCUCUCUUUUUCUCUCUUGCGACAUUGCAUCCCAGGUGCGUGGUUUUUUAUUUAUGCUUACCGUUUGUUUAGUCUUUCAUCGAUUAUCUUCUGGUUCAACUGAUUAACAUUUGUUUUCUUUGUGUUGUGUUUUAUUGCAGUUUUGUUCCAUUCAAACCAGUGUCGACGUCUAUUUACGUCGUUCGUGGGCACUAACUGACGUCACUAUAUACGUCUGUGGUUAGGAUGUCGGACGUCCCAUUGGCAUCACCGGUUUAGAUGUCGGUUUAUGAAUAGACGUUAAAAGCCCAAAAUAACCAACAUUAAACAGCGUUUUUGCACUAGUGAUCAAACUAUAUCAUAAAAAACAAUUUGCAGAUAAGUCAAAAUCUGACAACUUCAUGAUGAUAAAAAGAAACAUCAUAUAAAAGUUAUACAACUCUUACCGGCUGCUUCUCAUCUUGAAAUGUGGUUGGUGUUGAAACUCCUACCUAGAGGUAAAGAAAAACUAGGGUUUGAAUAAAAGGAAAGCAAAUAGUAGCAACAUACUUAGGAAGAAGAAAAUAAAAUCCAGAAUCAAAACAGAUCAAUCAACUUAUGUAGGGAUGGGCAAAUAGAACUGAAGUGUACUGUACUACUAAAAUAUGUACUGAACUAAAAACUAAUAUGUCUAAACUGAAAUGUAAAGAUAAAUUGAACUGUUUUCUGUUUUAUUUGAACUGAACUUGAACUACACUAAAUUAUACUAAAUUAUAAUAUAAACUGAACGGAACUAUUGACCAUACUAAUUUUAAACUUUUAGUUUUUAAACUGAAUAGUAUAACAAUACAUGUUCUUUUAAUUGAAAUUUAUUUUAAUAUUUAUUUUAUUCAUAAGUGUCUUACAAAUUAUUUUUUUAAUUAUUUGAUAUUAUUAUUUUUUAUUUAUAUUUAUAUUUCUUUUGUUAUUAUAUGUGGAUGGAAAUUAUUUUAUUUUAGUUUUUAUUUAUUUUAUUUUUUUUUAUUU